GGUUCGAUUCUGGCUCAGAUUGAACGCUGGCGGGAUGCUUUACACAUGCAAGUCGAACGCAGCACGGACUUCGGUCUGGUGGCGAGUGGCGAACGGGUGAGUAAUGUAUCGGAACGUGCCUAGUAGCGGGGGAUAACUACGCGAAAGCGUAGCUAAUACCGCAUACGCCCUUCGGGGGAAAGCGGGGGACCUUCGGGCCUCGCACUAUUAGGAGCGGCCGAUAUCGGAAUUAGCUAGUUGCGGGGUAACGGCUCACCAAGGCGACGAUCCGUAGCUGGUUUGAGAGGACGACCAGCCACACUGGGACUGAGACACGGCCCAGACUCCUACGGGAGGCAGCAGUGGGGAAUUUUGGACAAUGGGGGAACCCUGAUCCAGCCAUCCCGCGCGUGCGAUGAAGGCCUUCGGGUUGUAAAGCACUUUUGGCAGUGAAAGAAACGGCACGGGAUAAUACCCCGUGCAACUGACGGUACCUGCAGAAUAAGCACCGGCUAACUACCGUGCCAGCAGCCGCGGUAAUACGUAGGUGCAAGCGUUAAUCGGAAUUACUGGGCGUAAAGCGUGCGCAGGCGGUUCCGGAAAGAAAGAUGGGAAACCGCGAGCUUAACUUUGGAACUGCAUUAACUACCGAGAGCGAGUGUGUCAGAGGUGAGUGGAAUUCCGCGUGUAGCAGUGAAAUGCGUAGAUAUGCGGAGGAACACCGAUGGCGAAGGCAGCCUCCUGGGAUAACACUGACGCUCAUGCACGAAAGCGUGGGGAGCAAACAGGAUUAGAUACCUCUGGUAGUCCACGCCCUAAACGAUGUCAACUAGCUGUUGGGGCCUUCGCCUUGUGAAGCGCAGCUAACGCGGUGAAGUUGACCGCCUGGGGAGUACGGUCGCAAGAUUAAAACCAAAGAGUUUGACGGGACUCCGCACAAGCGGUGGAUGAUGUGGAUUAAUCUGAUGCAACGCGAAAAACCUUACCUACCCUUUGAUGUCUGAACUCUGAAGAGAUUUGGGGAGGCCUCGCAGAGAACGCCAAGCUGUGGUGCUGCAUGGCUGUCGUCAGCCUUGCCGGAGAUGUUGCCAAGUCCCGCAACGAGCAACCCUUGUCAUUAGUUGCUACGAAAGGCACUCUAAUGAGACUGCCGGUGACAAACCGGAGGAAGGUGGGGAUGACGUCAAGUCCUCAUGGCUCUUGCGGUAGGGCUUCACACGUCAUACAAUGGUCGGGACAGAGGGUCGCCAACCCGCGAGGGGGAGCAAUCCCAGAAACCCGAUCGCAGUCCGGAUCGCAGUCUGCAACUCGACGGUGCGUCGGAAUCGCUAGUAAUCGCGAUCAGCAUGGUCGCGGUGAAUAUGUUCCGGGUCUUGUACACACCGCCCGUCACACCAUGGAGUGGGUUUUACCAGAAGUAGUUAGCCUAACCGUAAGGAUAGCGAUUACCACGGUAGGAUUCGUUAAGGACUGGGGUGAAGUCGUAACAAGGU
rnacentral:rRNA from 1 species